CAAAACGAACCGGUUGACUCCCUAAUUAUUUAUCUUUUAUCAUUUUGUUARCGAUUCAAAAUUCGUUAUGUUUCUCAUUCAUUCUCAUUCUACUCUGGAUCUGAGCGGAAAUUUUUUUUCUUUAUCACAAGCCUCGUGUGUNAUAUAUAUGAUACACGUACAAANGAACAUCUUUGAGCAAGGAAUCCCCAUUUNNAANNNANUUUGAAUAAUUAACAAUAUAUACCAUUACUUGUACUGAAACUUAGAAUUUUUUUUUUUGAAGAUCCCUGAAAUUCUAUACAGGGCCUGUAUAAUACUUUGUAAUACUUUUUUCGUUUUUCUAAUUGACAUAGACCCAAGUCCUAUAUUAAAAUAAAAUGAGGAUGAUGCGAUGUGUCGUAACUGGUCGGGAUAGCUCAGCUGGUAGAGCAGAGGACUGAAAAUCCUCGUGUCACCAGUUCAAAUA
rnacentral:misc_RNA from 1 species